rnacentral:rRNA from 1 species
AUUGAACGCUGGCGGCAGGCCUAACACAUGCAAGUCGAACGGUAGCACAGAGAGCUUGCUCUCGGGUGACGAGUGGCGGACGGGUGAGUAAUGUCUGGGAAACUGCCCGAUGGAGGGGGAUAACUACUGGAAACGGUAGCUAAUACCGCAUAACGUCUUCGGACCAAAGUGGGGGACCUUCGGGCCUCACACCAUCGGAUGUGCCCAGAUGGGAUUAGCUAGUAGGUGGGGUAAUGGCUCACCUAGGCGACGAUCCCUAGCUGGUCUGAGAGGAUGAGCAGCCACACUGGAACUGAGACACGGUCCAGACUCCGACGGGAGGCAGCAGUGGGGAAUAUUGCACAAUGGGCGCAAGCCUGAUGCAGCCAUGCCGCGUGUAUGAAGAAGGCCUUCGGGUUGUAAAGUACUUUCAGCGGGGAGGAAGGCGAUGGAGUUAAUAGCUUCAUCGAUUGACGUUACCCGCAGAAGAAGCACCGGCUAACUCCGUGCCAGCAGCCGCGGUAA